UACGUAGGGUGCAAGCGUUGUCCGGAAUUAUUGGGCGUAAAGAGCUCGUAGGUGGUCUGUUGCGUCGGCUGUGAAAAUCCGGGGCUCAACCCCGGACUUGCAGUGGGUACGGGCAGACUAGAGUGUGGUAGGGGAGACUGGAAUUCCUGGUGUAGCGGUGAAAUGCGCAGAUAUCAGGAGGAACACCGAUGGCGAAGGCAGGUCUCUGGGCCACUACUGACGCUGAGAAGCGAAAGCAUGGGGAGCGAACAGG
rnacentral:rRNA from 1 species